AAUGAACGCUGGCGGCAUGCCUAACACAUGCAAGUCGAACGAAGGCUUCGGCCUUAGUGGCGCACGGGUGCGUAACGCGUGGGAAUCUGCCCCUUGGUUCGGAAUAACAGUUGGAAACGACUGCUAAUACCGGAUGACGACGUAAGUCCAAAGAUUUAUCGCCGAGGGAUGAGCCCGCGUAGGAUUAGGUAGUUGGUGUGGUAAAGGCGCACCAAGCCGACGAUCCUUAGCUGGUCUGAGAGGAUGAUCAGCCACACUGGGACUGAGACACGGCCCAGACUCCUACGGGAGGCAGCAGUGGGGAAUAUUGGACAAUGGGCGAAAGCCUGAUCCAGCAAUGCCGCGUGAGUGAUGAAGGCCUUAGGGUUGUAAAGCUCUUUUACCCGGGAUGAUAAUGACAGUACCGGGAGAAUAAGCGCCGGCUAACUCCGUG
rnacentral:rRNA from 1 species